rnacentral:rRNA from 1 species
AUUGAACGCUGGCGGCAGGCCUAACACAUGCAAGUCGAACGGUAACAGGAAACAGCUUGCUGUUUCGCUGACGAGUGGCGGACGGGUGGGUAAUGUCUGGGAAACUGCCUGAUGGAGGGGGAUAACUACUGGAAACGGUAGCUAAUACCGCAUAACGUCGCAAGACCAAAGAGGGGGACCCUCGGGCCUCUUGCCAUCGGAUGUGCCCAGAUGGGAUUAGCUUGUUGGUGGGGUAACGGCUCACCAAGGCGACGAUCCCUAGCUGGUCUGAGAGGAUGACCAGCCACACUGGAACUGAGACACGGUCCAGACUCCUACGGGAGGCAGCAGUGGGGAAUAUUGCACAAUGGGCGCAAGCCUGAUGCAGCCAUGCCGCGUGUAUGAAGAAGGCCUUCGGGUUGUAAAGUACUUUCAGCGGCGAGGAAGGGAGUAAAGUUAAUACCUUUGCUCAUUGACGUUACCCGCAGAAGAAGCACCGGCUAACUCCGUG